AAUACCGAUCCGUUUUAUAUCGGUUUUUGAUUUUGGCUGUGACCGAUACUGAUACCAAGUUUUAAAACCUUACGUAACAUCGUAUAUUCAACCUGAACCGCUCAUCGGGGUAACCAACACCACGGGAGUGUCAUAGAGAAAAAAAUCCGUUGCAUCGCAUGUACAAAAUCUCUCUCUUCCUUUGGAUAUUGUUAUCGUUCAUUGUAAAUCCACCAUGUGUUAAUCAUCUGAUUUGUGCUGCAGAUGAGUCGAAUCCCCUUAUUCUCUCUCUGUUAUGUCUCUUCUGAUCUCUCUGGCCUGAUCCUCCAUCCAAACAUCUUGUGCCUGAAGAUCUAGGUUACGUGAUGCUCACUUCAGUGGAUUAGAGUACAAUGGCCGAUAAAUAGUUACAAUCAGCUUCUUAAUAUACCGUAUCUUCUUUUUGCCCCCAAAAGAAUAUACCAAAAGUUUGCUAGCACGGCUAGUCGGCUACUGAGUUGAAAAAAUAGGGCCUAGUGGAAUACAACGUUUAGAGGCCGUUUGGUAUUGUUCAUAAAAAACGUUUCUAGCGUUUUUUCGUGUUAAUAGAACCAAAAAACGCAAAAAAUCGUUUGGUAAAUUAAAGCUCCGUUUCUGUUUUUUUGAAACUCAAAGUGUAUAAAAAACGAAAAACUCUCAAUUUGACGAAACACCUCGGAGGAUGUUCUGUCUGUGGUGUUUCGUUUCAAAUUAAUAUACUUGAAACAUUCGUUCCCGACAGUCCGCGACAGAGAGAGGAGAGCAGAGAGGAGAGAAGCUUGAACCCAGCUCGUGAGCCCUUCCGAAAAACCCAUCUCAGUCCGCGACAGAGAGAGGAGAGCAGAGAGGAGAGAAGCGAGAACCCAGCUCAUGACCCCUUCCAAAAAACCCAUCUCAGUUCGCGACAGAGAGAGGAGAGCAGAGAGGAGAGAAGCGAGAACCCAGCUCGUGACCCCUUCCGAAAAACCCAAAAUCUCAGGCUGAUAACCGUGGAUGUGGUAUGUUUGUAUGGUUGAAAGAUGAAA